UAAAAAGUUUGCUAGGGUUCCGCACGCAGUGGUCUGGUCAAAGAGCAAACGCGUGCCUCGCACGUACACGGAAGGAUAAAAGCCUGGGAGUU
rnacentral:sRNA from 2 species